GAUGAACGCUGGCGGCGUGCCUAAUACAUGCAAGUCGAGCGAACAGACGAGGAGCUUGCUCCUCUGACGUUAGCGGCGGACGGGUGAGUAACACGUGGAUAACCUACCUAUAAGACUGGGAUAACUUCGGGAAACCGGAGCUAAUACCGGAUAAUAUAUUGAACCGCAUGGUUCAAUAGUGAAAGACGGUUUUGCUGUCACUUAUAGAUGGAUCCGCGCCGCAUUAGCUAGUUGGUAAGGUAACGGCUUACCAAGGCAACGAUGCGUAGCCGACCUGAGAGGGUGAUCGGGCACACUGGAACUGAGAACCGGUCCAGACUCCUACGGGAGGCAGCAGUAGGGAAUCUUUCGCAAUGGGCGAAAGCCUGACGGAGCCACGCCGCGUGAGUGAUGAAGGUCUUCGGAUCGUAAAACUCUGUUAUUAGGGAAGAACAAAUGUGUAAGUAACUAUGCACGUCUUGACGGUACCUAAUCAGAAAGCCACGGCUAACUACGUG
rnacentral:rRNA from 1 species